rnacentral:rRNA from 1 species
UACGUAGGGUGCAAGCGUUGUCCGGAAUUAUUGGGCGUAAAGAGCUCGUAGGCGGUCUGUCGCGUCGGCUGUGAAAACUCGGGGCUCAACUCCGAGCUUGCAGUCGAUACGGGCAGGCUAGAGUUCGGCAGGGGAGACUGGAAUUCCUGGUGUAGCGGUGAAAUGCGCAGAUAUCGGGAGGAACACCGGUGGCGAAGGCGGUUCUCUGGGCCUGUGCUGACGCUGAGGAGCGAAAGCGUGGGGAGCGAACAGG